rnacentral:tRNA from 1 species
GGCUCCGUAGCUCAGCUGGUUAGAGCGCACGACUCAUAAUCGUGAGGUCGGUGGUUCGAGUCCACCCGGAGCUA